AGAGUUUGAUCAUGGCUCAGGACGAACGCUUGCGGCGUGCCUAAGAAAUGCAAGUCGAACGGACAGAGACUUCGGUUUCUGUCAGUGGCGAACGGUCGCGUAACACGUAGGCAACCUGCCUCGAAGUGGGGGACAACAGCCCGAAAGGGCUGCUAAUACCGCAUGCGGCCACCUUAUCGCAUGAUUUGGUGUCUAAAGGGUCUUUUGAUUCGCUUUGAGAUGGGCUUGCGGCCUAUCAGCUUGUUGGUGGGGUAACGGCCUACCAAGCCGACGACGCGUAGCUGGUCUGAGAGGACGACCAGCCACAUCGGGACUGAGACACUGCCCGGACUCCUACGGGGGGCUGCAGUAACGAAUCUUCCGCAAUGCACGAAAGUGUGACGGAGCGACGCCGCGUGGGGGACGAAGUCCUUCGGGAUGUAAACCCCUGUCAGGAGGUACCAAGUUCUGAGGACCUCCAGAGGAAGGCACGGCUAACUCUGUGCCAGCAGCCGCGGUAAGACAGAGGUGCCGAGCGUUAGGCGGAAUCACUGGGCUUAAAGCGUGUGUAGGCGGACCCGUAAGUGUCUUGUGAAAUCCCACCGCUCAACGGUGGAACGGCUGGGCAUACUGCGGGUCUUGAGCGACCCAGGGGCGAGCGGAACAAGCGGUGGAGCGGUGAAAUGCGUAGAUAUCGCUUGGAACGCCGGCGGUGAAAACGGCUCGCUGGGGGUCCUGCUGACGCUGAGACACGAAAGCCAGGGGAGCGAACGGGAUUAGAUACCCCAGUAGUCC
rnacentral:rRNA from 1 species